rnacentral:rRNA from 1 species
UACGUAGGGGGCAAGCGUUGUCCGGAAUCAUUGGGCGUAAAGCGCGUGUAGGCGGCUUGGCAAGUCAGUUGUGAAAGCCCGGGGCCCAACCCCGGAAUUGCAUCUGAAACUGCCUGGCUAGAGUCCCGGAGAGGAAGGCAGAAUUCCCGGUGUAGGGGUGAAAUCCGUAGAUAUCGGGAGGAAUACCAGCGGCGAAGGCGGCCUUCUGGACGGUGACUGACGCUGAGACGCGAAAGCGUGGGGAGCAAACAGG